CUCCCUCCCAGCACCAAAGGAAGAUACCGAGGCCAAGACAGAAUGAGAAUGAAAUAGACACUACAAGGAAGGAACAGCUGUUGGAAACAAAGAGAAGAAAGCAUAUAAAUAACAGAUUGCUUGACUCUAUCAAAUACUAAGGAAAGAUAGAUGUGUGCUCCAGGAUGUGCCCCAUGCACAUGAGUGCACUCAUGUGAAGAAGCCUGACUGAUGCCCGUCUCAUUCGGUACUGUGCAUGUGAGUUUGGGGUGACUGCAACUGUGUGCAAAGGGGUGCUUGUUAGGAGUCAAAUAUAGAAAAAAGGGGGAUCCCAGCCACAUUGCUGAACAUUUACCCUUCUGCUAUCAUAUGGUAUAAAAGCAAAACCAUACAGACAGACAGACAGAGACGGCGAUCCCCAGGUACUGGCAGGACUGACACAAGCCCCUGGCGCGGGACCCCAGGCCAGGACAGAGAGGAAUCUCGGCGACCUCGGAGCCUUACCGGGCAGAGCUGUCCCGCGUGCGCCGAAGCCAUCUUGCCACCAUUUGUUCUAUUCUGUGUGCUUUCCGAGUUUGGAAUAUACUGGUCUCCAGCUCUUCCAUUUACCUACAAGGAAGAAGAGUGCUUUUUAAGAGCUAACCAAAGCACUGUAGAGAGAAUUCUGUCACAAAGUGUCAAAUUCUGACACUUUUUGUGUUUGCCCAGUAGAAGAUACAUUGAGACUUUCUAUCUGAAACCCACAAAAAGCUGGACCCCCACAGAGGGACACUUUAGCAAACAGAGUGGCUUUGUUUUAAGCAAGAGAGAAUACAAUAGAUAAAGCUGCUCAAAUUUUGUGACUGUGCCCCUCAAGGAGAAAUGCACCUUCCUAGGUGACACUCUUCUCGCUCCUCCAACCCUGUGAGCAUCCCUGGACCACAUGGCUCAGUUUGUCUGCAUCAGGAGCUGCAGGGUCUCGCGAUGCAGUUCAGGCUGACCUUGAACUUACUUUGUAGCCAAGGCUGGCCUGGAACUUAGGAUGAACCUCCUGCCUCAGUCUCCCAAGUGCUGGCAUCAUAGGCAUGCACACCACACCCAGUCUGAGGUAACAAGUUUUGCAGAACCAAGAAAACAGAAACCUAUGUGAUUUUUAUAAGGGGAUUCUGAAGAAAGAUGAGUAGAUGUUCCCAAUAGCUCAGCAAUUAGAGGCAGUAGAUACAGGAGAAAUCUGAGCUGAGUCAUAGAGCUGAAAAUAUGGAAACAGUUCUCUACAAGCAAUAAUUGUAUUCAUGAUCCUUACCCAUCUAGACAGCAUUACUUUCCAGUCCUACUGGAGAUAAAUGACUCAUUUUCUGGAGAAAAAAAAAGUGAGCAAGAGAGGUUUGGGAAGACCAAGCACAAUAACAGGUGCAGGUUACUUAAUCCUUGUGGAUUAAGUAAAACUCUCACUGAACAACAAGAUCUCUAGCCUGUUCUUUUGCAUACUUCUCAGAAAACCUGCAGCUAGGACAUUAGAGCCCAAGAAGAGGCUAGAGAAGCUUCUUGGGAUCGUGGAUGAUCACUAGAGAAAAGACCUUUGGAUGGUGAUGCUUCCAGAUCCCCUCAGCAAAAAGGUAACUCUACCAGAUCACCUUGAAGCCUAUUUGCCAAUGAGUCUGACUCCUUACACAGAGCUCUGAUCACUUACUUUAACUCUUAUUAUGAAUGGACAUUGAUGAAAAGCCUGCAUUAUGAAAAACAGAUGAAAACAAGUGGAAUUCAGAAGUAACAGAAAUAAUGCAGGAAACAGAAGAAAAAAUCUGGAAUUUAAAUCCUCACAAAGAUACUAUGGCCAUGCAAGAUCUUUUCCUUUUUAAGUGAACCAUCACAGAGCAAGAAUGAACCUCUUGGAAAUUUAAAAAAUUAGCUAGAAUAAGUCAGGCACAGUGCUGCCUGCCUGUAAUCUUAGCUACUCAAGAGCCAAGACAAGAGGAUUGUUAGUUUAAGGCUAUCCUGGGCAACUUAGUGAGACUGUCUUCAAAAUAAAAGAAAAAAAGGUUAGUGAUGUAAUUCAGUGCAAAGGCUCUGGGUUCAACCUCCAAUACACAAACAAACAAACAAACAUGAAGAGCUUUACAGUGAACAUUUCAUUCGUGGCAAACAGCCAUUUACAAGGUAUUUGUUAGGAUAUAUUUCUAGAAGUGAAAUUAUUACAUCUAAGCAUAUGUUCAUUAAAAAAUUUGGGAUGUACAUUUAAAAUUGCUUCCAAGAAAAUACUGAUUUAUACUCCUGCCAAGAAAAGCCUUUAAAGCAUUGAAUAGUAUCAUUUGUAAAAUUGCCAAGGAUAGAACAAACAUUUAUUUUCUUAAAAAUUUAUGUUUUGUGAGACACAGAAGAUAAAAGUAAAGAUCCACAUUCUCCAAAAACUACAUAUUAUUCCUUAAAAAUAUUUGCUAAUGGGAAGGAAAGCAGUUUAAAUAUACAUAUUUGGAAAAAAUGCAGAAGACAAAAGCAAAUAUCAGGGCUAAUUCCACAGCAUGAAAAAUUAUAUAAUUAUCCUAAUUCAAGUAUCUAAUCCACCUCCAGAGGUUAACUCAGUUAACAAUUUAGUAUGUGUUUAUACUAACUUUGCCUUAAAUAUGUAGAGGCCUAUAUUACAUGCAUGAAAAUAUCUUUCCCACAAAGAUAGGAUUGUGCAUACCCAGUGGUCUGCACUUUGCAUUCUUAAACAUGUACUUUACAUUUGAAACCAGAUUAGAGCUCAUUAGUUUUGAUUUGAAGUUACUUGAUUACUGGUAGAUCUCAACAUAUUUCUUAGGCCCUGGUCAUUUGUAUUUAUUUUGUAACUUACUUUUCUGUUUCUGGCAUUUCCUUGUUUUUAUACUGAAAUGUUUGUCUGCUUGUUAUUGAUUUGUAAAAGCUCUUUUGUAAUAAAGAUUAUUUAAUGUUCUUUUGCCAAGGAUACAAAAUUAUCAUAUUUCUGUGAAGUUUAAUAUGGCCGAUCAAGAAUGUAGGUCUAGUUUCCUGACUAUUAGAGACUAGUCACUGAGGAAAGAAAAGCAAAUAUCUAGUACAGUCUACAGGAUAUGUUCCAAAUAUCAGUUGCCUUAGCCAGGCCUUCCAUAAGAUCAAAGUCUCUGACAAUUCUAGGACAUGGCUUUUUAUUUUUGAGAGGGGGGAACAUCUGACACAGAAUUAUUUUAUUUUUGAAAGCAUGUUGUAUGAGAUCUAUAUACAAAUUGAAUUAGAACACAAACCAAAAAAUCAUGCAAAGUUCAAAUUUUCAUUCAAUAAUAUUCCUAUUACAGACAAAAAGAAACCUGUCAAGUAGACUACUUACUUCACAGGUUAUCUUAUUCUCUACAUAUAUGGCUUAAUAAAUUAUUUUUUCCAUGGAGCACAGAUGUAUAGAUCCCAUGGAAAGCUGUCAAGUGAGACUUCCUUCUGAAUUAUUAACUGUGAUUUUAUUUUUAUUAGUACAUGUUUGCAAUACGUAAUGAUUACACUAAUUGUGGGGAAUUGGUACAUGUACAAACUCAUCUCAAUUAUUUUUCCCUUCUCUCCACCCCUUCUUCUUUGCCAGCAUCAGAUUCAUUUAUUUAUAAGUCCUCAUAAAGUUAAUUAUCAUACACACAAAAUAAUAACCAGACUAAAAGGCCAAAUAGAAUGAGGUUACUGAUGUGGUCUGUCUUCUAUCAGCCUUCUUUCAGGGGUUAAGGAUGGUUCAGACUUAAAACCAAGUCGUAUAAAGACUCAUCAAGAGAUCAGGGUAUUCUGGGCUGGGAAUGUGGCUUUGUGAUAAAGUGUUUGCCCAGCAAGAACAAGGUCCUGGGUCCGUCCUCAGCAACACAGAGGUGGAGAGGAGAAAUCGGAGAACGCUUAUCAGAUUAAAAACUUGGAGGUAGCCUAUAGUAUCACAGUUCACAAACAGUCCAAAGGCCAACAUGUGGAACAUCACAUACUCCACAUGAUUCUAGGAUGCAGAGCAAGGAUGAAUAAGGGAAGUGCCACAGGGAGGGAGACUUUAUCUCCAGCUCUAUCAAGACCUCUAAAGUGUUCCUUACAGUCCACAGGGUGGAAAAAGAUUUUUCAAGAGUUAUCAAUAUUUCAGCAACUGAAGGUAUUUGAAAAGAGACUAACUCUGCAUGGACCUAAAAGAGGUAUUACAAGAGCUGAAAGUGUAAUUCAGUGGUAGAGCACUUGGUCAGCAUGCUCAAGGCCCUGAAUUCAGUCUGUAUUGCCAACAAGAAGAUGUGGAUGUUGGGGAAAGGGAAAAAGGAAGGGAGGAGGAGAAAGAAGAGGAGAACUACACUACAAUGGAGUAGAGGAAUGGAAUACACAGACUAGACGACCUCUAUAGUUCCUCCCAUCCAUGAAAUUUGAAGUCUCUACUAGACCUAGGAACCAGGAAAGAUAAUACUUGUUGCCUUCUCUCUUGAAAUUCAAAUCCCUGCAUUACCCCGAGAAUUUGAAAGUUCUGAAGUAACCAUAGCACUGGAAAAUGCAGAAUUUCUGACCUCCACAUUAUUCAGCCUUUGAAUGAAUGCAGAGUCAUCAGAUAUACCCACAAUGUUUGGAGACCAGCAAGCCUUUUCAGCUUGCAGUAGUUACUUAGGGGAUUGUGAAGAAACUGCUGGCAAACACAAUUGAGCUAACCAAUUUCUAUAAACAUAGAACUAACAGAAUUAAUUUACAUUCUAUAUCUGACUGUGAGUAAGCAUGUGCCUUCACCCAGGAAUCUCUAAAGACCAAACACACGGCCACAUCAACCAACCCAGUGAAAGUGCUUCCUGAUUCAGAAAGGUAUGAGUAGGAGAAUUUAAAAUCAAGAGAAUGAUCUGCUAACAGCUUUGAUAUUAGUCUCUCUGCUUUUGUUAAUGGAAUAAAGUAAGAACCUAGAUAAUUCCCAGACAUCUGAAUCUUCUCUACAGUCCUAUUGCCAAGAAAUUAUUUCACCUUCGUUUAUGGUUCUAUCAUUCACUGUUGGGCCUGUCUUGUUAGAAAGUGUCUAAAGCUAAGUUCUUCCUCUCUAUAGUUUCUGACCUCUGUAGAAACGCUGCCCUCUGACCACCCUAAUUACCACCCGCAGAACAAAUCACUUCCCUUCUGUAAACUAGAUUUUUUACAUUAGUAUGUGGAAAUCUUUCUAUUGACAGGUUUUCAGUACAUAAUAAUCACUUUCAUUGUGGGAAGUUGAUACCUGUACAUAACACAUUUUAAUUCUUUUUUUUUCAUCCCCUUCCUUUCCUCUUCCCCCUCUUUCCCUUCAUCUCCUGAUCCCCUUUACAAAAGUUCUGUCUCCCUAUUUUCUGUUCUAUUUUAUUUUGCUCUUUAUUUAUAUUUUGGGUUUCUCAUCUAAGAGAAACCAUGUGAUAUUUAAGCUGUAACAUUAUGGUCUGAAGAUCCAUCCAUUUCCUACAAAUGGCUCAAUUUAUCCUCCUUUAUGGCAAGUAGUACCCUGUCGUGUAUAAUGCCAUAUCUUCUCCAUUUAUUUAUCUGUUGAUGGACAUAUGGGCUGCUUUCAAGACUGAGCUAUGAUCCUCUGUCCCAUACCAUAUAUCUCAGUUCCUCUACAAUUCUUCAUAGUACAGCACUGCCUUAGAUCAUCCUCCUUUGGGAACACACUAACUUGGCAAAAUCCCCUAAAAGACACAAAUUCUCAAACUGAACACAUUCUGAUUGUCUGGAACAAAGUGAAUAUAAAAAGGGAAACCCUCUCAAAAUAGUUUCCAAAUGGAUAAGAUGAUUCAAUACAUCAAAAUGACAGUCAUUUUAAAAGCAAGUGGAAAAUGAAGACCAUAAGCAUUCCAAACAGAUAAAAGAUAUGGUAAUAAAAUAUUUCAGGUAACUAGUACCUACUAUUGAGAAAUGAACAAUAAUAAGGGAGCUAGCAGAGGAUAGAAGAGAAACUGAAAAGCCAAAAAUCAUUUGCACUGAAGUGGUAUUUUAAAAUACAACUGGACACCCCAGAGGGCAGGGUCCACUGGAAGACAGUGAAUUCACGAUCCAGGCCUCCUCCACUGUGUCCCAGAGGGCAGGCCGGCUGGAAGACAAUGUGUUCAUAUUCUGUGCCCCUCCAUUAUAUCCUGGAUGGCGAGACCAGCUGAAGGACAGUGAAUUCAUGCUCUGGGUGUCCUCCAUUACCUCCCCAGAUGGCAGGGCUGGCUAGAAGAGUGUAAGACCCCCAGAACCCCAAGACCCAGGACAACAGCCCAGCACACAGACACACACACAUACACCUUUGGAGGGCAAGAUGCAGAGGCAGGGCACAGUCUCAGAUUCCCAGCCCACCCAGGACAGGCCUGGAACUCAACACGAUGGAUGAAGUUGGAAGUUAAACACUGGAACCUUCUGAAAUGAUAACAACAGAAGUGGAAAAGACUAUAGAGAAAAUGGUUUCUCACGUAAAAAAAGAAAUGCUGCUUAAAAUCAAAGAUAAUAGAGAAGACACAAAUAAAAAAAUAGAUAAGCUUAGAAAAAUAUGGAAAGAAAAAAUGCCCAACAUCGGAGAGAAAUGGAAUCCAUGAAACAAAUCCAAACAGAGAUUCAGGAGAUUCAAACCUCACUUGAAAGUAUGUGUAACAGACUGAAUGAAAGAAAUGAUAUAAUUCAGAUCUUGAAGACAGAAUUGCAGUAGUGAUCAUGAAAAGAAAGAUAUCUCAAAAGUAGCAAGAGACCACGAGAUAUCAAUCCAACAGCCAUAGGACAAAGCAAAGAAGAAUAACACAGGAUUGACGGGUCAAUAUGAAAACUGGAGACAUCACAAAUGCCAUAAAAAUCAUAAAUAUAUAUGUACCUAAUACAGGAGCAUCCAACUAUAUAAGACAGUUAUUGGCAGACAUAGAAAAUCAAAUAAGCAAUAUCACAGUUGUGAUAGGAGACCUGAAUAUCCCAUUGUCACAGAGAGACAAAUCAACUAGACAGAAAAUCAACAAAGAAAUAUCAGAGAUGAACCAAAGCUGUGAACAAAUGGAGUUAACAGGAUGAAGCAUGCCCGAGGCUCCGCUGCCAUCAGGGGAACAUCAGUGAAUCACCGCCCAGAGCCUCUCCACCACUCUGAGAACCCCAGAUUGGAGGAACCCAGGUGACUAGUCCAAUCCACUACAACAAAGGAUUUACAGUCAAUGCAGGAAACACCCAGGAUACAUCAUGGGCUUAUUCAGAGGAACACAAGAAAAUGUUAGGAUGAAGGAGCAAAAUACAAUCUCAAACCUCCAGCUCAUACAGAACAAGUUCAGGAGACAUAGACAUAGUAGAAAUUAGAAGUCACAUACCUGAAAUUCUCUGAAAAGAUAACAACUGAAGUAAAGAAGCAACUUAGUUCUUGUUUGGUUAAUUUUACAUGCCUAUGUCUUAUGGUCUGGACAGCUAUUUUUGAAGAUAACAAGAGGCAUUACAGUAGCCAUUAUCUUGUUUUGAAAUUCUGUAUCAUUUUCAUUGUUUUGUUAGAUUUGGUUUGGUCUUAUUCUGUUUUGUUUUGUUUUGUUUGAUUUGAUUAUGUCUGAAGGUGUGGGCAGCUAUUUUGAAGAUAAUAAGAUAUAGUAGCCUUUACUGAUUUCU